CCUAGUAACUGCGAGUGAAGCGGGAAAAGCUCAAAUUUAAAAUCUGGCAGCCUUUGGCUGUCCGAGUUGUAAUCUAGAGAAGUGCUAUCCGCGCUGGACCGUGUACAAGUCUCCUGGAAUGGAGCGUCAUAGAGGGUGAGAAUCCCGUCUCUGACACGGACUCCCAGGGCUUUUGUGAUGCGCUCUCAAAGAGUCGAGUUGUUUGGGAAUGCAGCUCUAAAUGGGUGGUAAAUUCCAUCUAAAGCUAAAUAUUGGCGAGAGACCGAUAGCGAACAAGUACCGUGAGGGAAAGAUGAAAAGAACUUUGGAAAGAGAGUUAAACAGUACGUGAAAUUGUUGAAAGGGAAACGCUUGAAGUCAGUCGCAUCGGCUGGGAAUCAACCUUGCUCUUUUGCUUGGUGUAUUUCCCAGCUGAUGGGUCAGCAUCAAUUUUGACCAAUGGAAAAAGGUCAAGGGAAUGUGGCAUCUUCGGAUGUGUUAUAGCCCUUGGCUGUAUACAUUGGUUAGGAUUGAGGAACUCAGCACGCCGCAAGGCCGGGUUUUUAACCACGUUCGUGCUUAGGAUGCUGGCAUAAUGGCUUUAAUCGACCCGUCUUGAAACACGGACCAAGGAGUCUAACAUGCCUGCGAGUAUUUGGGUGGAAAACCCAUAUGCGCAAUGAAAGUGAAGAUCAGGAUCUCUGUCGUGGAGAGCACUGAUGCCCGGACCAGACCUUUUGUGACGGAUCUGCGGUAGAGCAUGCAUGUUGGGACCCGAAAGAUGGUGAACUAUGCCUGAAUAGGGUGAAGCCAGAGGAAACUCUGGUGGAGGCUCGUAGCGAUUCUGACGUGCAAAUCGAUCGUCAAAUUUGGGUAUAGGGG
rnacentral:rRNA from 1 species